rnacentral:rRNA from 1 species
CUAAUCCUACGGGAGGCAGCAGUGGGGAAUAUUGCACAAUGGGCGCAAGCCUGAUGCAGCGACGCCGCGUGCGGGAUGGAGGCCUUCGGGUUGUAAACCGCUUUUGUUCAAGGGCAAGGCACGGUCUCUGGCCGUGUUGAGUGGAUUGUUCGAAUAAGCACCGGCUAACUACGUGCCAGCAGCCGCGGUAAUACGUAGGGUGCAAGCGUUAUCCGGAUUUAUUGGGCGUAAAGGGCUCGUAGGCGGUUCGUCGCGUCCGGUGGG